rnacentral:rRNA from 1 species
UACGGAGGAUGCAAGCGUUAUCCGGAAUUAUUGGGCGUAAAGCGUCCGCAGGUGGCUAUGUAAGUCUGCUGUUAAAGAGUGAGGCUCAACCUCAUAAGAGCAGUGGAAACUACAUAGCUAGAGUGCGUUCGGGGCAGAGGGAAUUCCUGGUGUAGCGGUGAAAUGCGUAGAGAUCAGGAAGAACAUCGGUGGCGAAGGCGCUCUGCUGGACCAUAACUGACACUCAGGGACGAAAGCUAGGGGAGCGAAUGGG